rnacentral:misc_RNA from 1 species
GUUUUUUUCAAAAAAAAAAACUUAACCCCUUUUUAAAUCUGUGUUCUAAUUAUUUAAGCAACAUUUCCCAAAAUGCUUUACAAUUGCAUAACAUGGUUAGUAAUUGCAUCCGGGCAAGAUUGGGCUUGCAGAAGCUCUAAACGCGUGAAAGGUGGAGCAAACUGCAAAAUGUAAUCUUCAUUUUCCUUGACUGUUCCAUAAAGCCAGCAUAAUACCUCAUCAGCAAAUGCUAGGCAGACCCCCCCCUGCCAAUAAUUCUUUGCUUUUACUCUGUUUGUUAUGUCCUUAGUUGUCAGUCUCUCCGUGCGGACAAGGCGACCAGCAUCAUCCCUAAAUCCAAUAACAAUGUAAGGAACCCCAGCCAAGAAUGAUUGAAUCCAGAACUUGAGCAGUUUCUCUUUCUCAAAUCUUUCCUCAGUAUGGUAAUCCAGCUCACGACUUGUCUUUAACUCCACGUAAAACCUCUUUCCAUCAUCAGUUGAAUCACAACAAUCCAUUUCAGCACCCAUGAGAAUACGAUGAGCCCCUAAUUUGGUUUUAAGCACAGAACAGUAUUCAACAUUGGCAUCAACAUGAUGUAUCCCUUCUCCAUCAGCCCUCCUUGGAUCUUCAGUGGCCAGGCUCUCAAAACAAUAUCCCCAAUAACAUCUUCGACGAUCUAACUCACUUUGUGGCCUUUCAGGUAAUUUAUGCACAUCAAGAUAGACAACCCCAUUCCUUUUGUGUACCCCCAUUUCCCAAGGCUCAUGUCGAAUAUAAGCAGUUGCCAAGAUCUUAUUCAGGUUGUUACGGAAAGUCACAAAAUGCAUGUUUUGAAGCAUAAUAUUUUUGGCCCUUAUGGAACCAAGGAGGUCACCAAAUCCUUCAGAGCCCAAAUCUUUUUUCUCAAUGAAAGUAUCAAAACCCUCAUUUAGAUCAGCUCCAACAUCAUCGGAAAUAUAACGCCUAAAAAGCCUCAAGCUGCGAUCGUCAAAGUAGACAUCUCCACCUUCUACACGACUAUAGCAAGCAAGUUCACAUGGCGCCUGAAAAGCAACCAUUUUUCUUGAUAAUGUUUCCUCACUCUUUGAGAACUUUAGUUCAGAAACAAGUCGUUCAUCACGAUGACCAUUUGAAAAUUUUGAACCAUAGCCAUAGCCCUGCCGUGGAGGAAAUCCAGGUCGGGGAAGAAGGCCUGCUCCUCUGUCAUUUUGCCAACGGCCACGUCCAAAAUUCCCUCUGCCCUGGUUGUUGAUAUUGCGUGUGACAGGUAACACAGGAAUAGAAUAAGGGCUAAUGGCAGGGGGUUUUACAUAAUCAUCAUUAUCAGAGGCAAAAAGGUCUCUAUCUUCUUGCUCUUCAUUAUAAUCCCCAAAAUUAUCAAACUUGUUAUUCUCUACUUCUUCACCGUUCUCUUCCUCUUCUUCCCCUCCGCUGCUAGCGCUCCCACUGGCACUGCUGCUGUCCCCACCAUCACUGCUGUUGGAUGAAGACGAAGCCGCCGAAGAUGACGAUGAACCAGAUGACGAUGAUGCAGAAGAGGAAGAGGGAGAUGAUCUAUGGGUACCAUUGUUCUCUCUAUCUUCUUGAUCCUCCUCAUAGUCUUCCCCAAAUAAAUCAACCUCUUGCUCUGCGAAAUCCAUUACUGGCCUUGUGCUUCUUCUUCUGUGUCUAUCGAGUGCUUUGCUCGGGGAUUCUCUUCUGAUCAAAUUCACUUUGAACUAUUUUGGCCUUUUUUAUCAUAGCAAAUUU